UUAACUCAUAUUUGUAUGGAGUUGGAACGUUUGCCGCUAGAGGCGCUGUUUCAACUGCAUACAAAUUUGAGUUA
rnacentral:pre_miRNA from 1 species